rnacentral:rRNA from 1 species
ACGCUCGACACCUACGGGAGGCAGCAGUGGGGAAUAUUGCACAAUGGGGGAAACCCUGAUGCAGCGACGCCGCGUGGAGGAAGAAGGUCUUCGGAUUGUAAACUCCUGUUGUUGGGGAAAAGAGGAUGGUACCCAACAAGGAAGUGACGGCUAACUACGUGCCACAGCCGCGGUAAUCUGAGCGGGCUGGCAAGGC